UGAAGGCGCCUCUCUUUGCUGGUUGAACCGAGGGCACUCGCAUAGUAGUCGGGCGAUCGUUUCGUUGCACCCACAGGGCACGAAGCUGCAGCUUCCACAUAGACAGGUUGUCAGACCAUAUGGGCGGAGGUCUGCACCUUCCGAGACUGGUUGGCUACGGACGCUGAACCGCCUGAAAAAGUUGCCCUGAUGAGUUCGUGUGCUCGUUGACUACUGCGCAUGCGGUAACUAUGGAACGAGUGAGUUUUGCUUUGGCUUAGAGAAAGCUGCGAAGACAUUUGAAAAAGACAGGUGUUUCAGCCCUCUUCAUACAAAGCUGUCUACGGAGUGGGCCUCCCUCGACGUUCGAUUCACGGUGCGGCCUGUGAAUCCAUGGCAACGGUCACCGAUCCGUGCGCGAGGCUCGGGCCCUUAAGCUCAGGUCUGUAGACCUCU